rnacentral:rRNA from 1 species
UAGGCCUCAAAUUAGUAGGAUUACCCGCUGAACUUAAGCAUAUCAAUAAGC